AACGAACGCUGGCGGCAGGCUUAACACAUGCAAGUCGAACGGGCGUAGCAAUACGUCAGUGGCGGACGGGUGAGUAACACGUGGGAAUAUGCCUUUCGGUUCGGAACAACUCGGGGAAACCCGUCGCUAAUUCCGGAUGCGCCCUUACGGGGAAAGGAUUUAUCGCCGAAAGAUUAGCCCGCGUUGGAUUAGCUAGUUGGUGAGGUAAAGGCUCACCAAGGCGACGAUCCAUAGCUGGUUUGAGAGAACGACCAGCCACACUGGGACUGAGACACGGCCCAGACUCCUACGGGAGGCAGCAGUGGGGAA
rnacentral:rRNA from 1 species